GUAAGGGUGUGGUCUACGCCUAUAUAAACCAGCUGUUGAAACUGUAGCGCACAUUUCUCUGGUUACUGUUAUAUAAAGUAAGGGUGUGGUCUACGCCUAUAUAAACCAGCUGUUGAAACCGUAGCGCACAUUUAUCGGGAACAUUAGAAGCGGGAUAAAUGUGUUGAUUUGAAGGACAGACUGACAGACUCUGGUAAGUCUUGGCUACAUAUAACUAUUAUAAAGUUAGGUCGUAGUCAGACAUUCAAUAGACAGAGUAGGCUUGAGAUAUGAUUCUUUAUCAUGCUGAACAACCUGGACCCGGUUUCCACGAUGGAAUUUAGGCUUAACGUUGGGAACGCAUGAUAAGUGGGUAAACGAUAAUUAACAGAAUACAAAGUUGAGGAAACACUAUUUUACAAAUUAAAGGUGCGUAGGCGCGUUACCCUCCACCGCAUCCCCGUUGAUGCGGGAGUGUAUAGUCCUUUAGUCUCUAUGGGCCAGAUGGUCAGUUAGUGAGAAACUGUUCAGAUUGGGGUCUAUAACAUCCAAUCAUAGAGGUUUACAGCAGCUGACAGGUGCAACUUCAUCGAUACUAACUCAAACUGACUUGGUUUAAAUAAAGACAAUAUCUGUAAAGAUAAAAAAAAAAGUAGAAGGUUAAGUAUUUCUGAACAAUAAUUUAUUCAUAAGGACAGAGUAUGUGAAUGAAUACCUGGAAUGAGAUAUUACGAGUUAGUAGAAGUGCUACUUGAGCUGAGUUGCUGACAGACAGCAGUUUUCAAAGUGUAAACUAAUCAGUAGACCUACAUGUUAUCAGUAACACGUCUGGUAAAGAUGGUGGAGGAGCUUUUCAAUGAUAUGGUUUUAUGUUUAUCUCAGGGUUUCUCAAUCCUUUUGUUCUUACCAGCACUUACACACCUGAUUCAACUAAUCAUCACAUAUUUUAAGACAGUUUAAUAUUUGAGGCAUACAAAUUAACAUUCUCAAAUUAAAACCUUUUGGGUUUGUAGGCCUGUUAACAAUUAUUAUAUGCCUACAGUAAUUCAUAUUUUGGAGAGAAAAAACACAACUAAACCUGGUUUUGUGACAUGUGGAAUACAGUAAACUAGUGUCUGAGUGCUGCUGAGUCAUUCCAACCAUACGGUCCCUCUUCUGUCUUUCAGGUUAAUAAUCUAGAAUAAAGUAGAGGGGACAUGUGGAAUACAGUAAACUAGUGUCUGAGUGCUGCUGAGUCAUUCCUACCAUGUGGUGCCUUUUCUGUCCCCAGGAAAUAUCAGUUCUUAUUUAGUGAAAGCUGAAAUAAAUAAUUCUCUCUACUAUUAUUCUGACAUUACACAUUCUUUAAAAUAAAGUGGUGAUCCUAACUGACCUAAAACAAUGACUUUUGUUUACGAGGAUUCAAUUUCAGGAAUUGUGAAAAACUGAGUUUAAAUGUAUUUGGCUCAGGUGUAUGUAAACUUCCGACUUCAACUGUAUUUAUGUGUAUAUAUUAAUUUACUGCUCUAAGGAUAUAAUUAUUGUUUACAUCACCUUAUUACUAUUAUGUUUUGAUUUUUCCCUUCCAUUUGUUUUACUAUUUAUGUGAUGUGCAAUGCAGAGAACACUGAAGAGGAAUUAUCAUUUAAUUUCCACAGUGAAUUAUUGUAAUGUUUGUUUAUGUGUCAAUUAACCCCAUAAGGGAAGGGUUGCCAGGUGGCGAUUUGACACAAUAAUAAAGUUUUCACUCAUUUGUUCAUUCA